UACAGAGGUCUCAAGCGUUGUUCGGAUUCAUUGGGCGUAAAGGGUGCGUAGGCGGUGAGGUAAGUCUGGUGUGAAAUCCCGGGGCUCAACCCCGGAACUGCACUGGAUACUGCUUUCACUAGAGUACUGGAGAGGGAACUGGAAUUUACGGUGUAGCAGUGAAAUGCGUAGAUAUCGUAAGGAAGACCAGCGGCGAAGGCGAGUUCCUGGACAGUAACUGACGCUGAGGCACGAAGGCCAGGGGAGCAAACGGG
rnacentral:rRNA from 1 species